rnacentral:rRNA from 1 species
UACGGAGGGGGCUAGCGUUGUCCGGAUUUAUUGGGCGUAAAGAGCGCGUAGGCGGCCGAGUAAGUCCGACGUGAAAUCUGGAGGCUCAACCUCCAGCGGUCGUUGGAAACUACUCGGCUAGAGUCCGGAAGAGGAGAGUGGAAUUCCUGGUGUAGCGGUGAAAUGCGCAGAUAUCAGGAAGAACACCGAUGGCGAAAGCAGCUCUCUGGGACGGUACUGACGCUGAGGCGCGAAAGCGUGGGGAGCGAACAGG